rnacentral:rRNA from 1 species
CCUACGGGGUGCUGCAGUGAGGAAUAUUGGUCAAUGGACGGAAGUCUGAACCAGCCAUGCCGCGUGCAGGAAGAAGGCGCCAGGCGUCGUAAACUUCUUUUGUCGGGGAACAAAGGGCGCCACGUGUGGCGUUGUGAGUGUACCCGAAGAAAAAGCAUCGGCUAACUCCGUGCCAGCAGCCGCGGUAAUACGGAGGAUGCGAGCUUUAUCCGGAUUUAUUGGGUUUAAAGGGUGCGUAGGCGGUCCGGAAAGUCAGCGGUAAAAGCCCGGGGCUCAACCCCGGCGAGCCGUUGAAACUGUCGGACUAGAGAGGGCGAGAAGUACGCGGAAUGCGCGGUGUAGCGGUGAAAUGCAUAGAUAUCGCGCAGAACUCCGAUUGCGAAGGCAGCGUACCGGCGCCGGACUGACGCUGAGGCACGAAAGCGCGGGGAUCGAACAGGAUUAGAUACCCGUGUAGUC